AAACUAACAAGGAUUCCCCUAGUAGCGGCGAGCGAAGCGGGAAGAGCUCAAAUUUGUAAUCUGGCACCUUCGGUGUCCGAGUUGUAAUCUCGAGAAGUGUUUUCCGCGCCAGACCGCAUACAAGUCUGUUGGAAUACAGCGUCAUAGUGGUGAGAACCCCGUAUAUGAUGCGGAUGCCUGGUGCUCUGUGAUACACUUUCGAAGAGUCGAGUUGUUUGGGAAUGCAGCUCAAAUUGGGUGGUAAAUUCCAUCUAAAGCUAAAUAUUGGCGAGAGACCGAUAGCGAACAAGUACCGUGAGGGAAAGAUGAAAAGCACUUUGGAAAGAGAGUUAACAGUACGUGAAAUUGUUGGAAGGGAAACGCUUGAAGUCAGACUUGCUAUUUGGAAUUCAGCCGCAAGGUGUAUUUUUCAAUUUGCAGGCCAGCAUCAGUUUUCGGGGGUGGAAAAGGAUUAGGAGAAGGUAGCAGUUUCGGCUGUGUUAUAGCUCUUAAUUGGAUUCAUCCCUGGGGACUGAGGAACGCAGCUUCGGCUUAGGAUGCUGGUGGAAUGGCUUUAAACGAC
rnacentral:rRNA from 1 species